CGCCUGUUUAUUAAAAACAUCGCUUUUUGGUUAUUAAAAUAGAAAGUCGGGCCUGCCCAGUGAGCUAUAUUAAACGGCUGCAACGAGAGUUGUACUAAGGUAGCGCGAUAAUUUGUCUCUUAAUUGGAGAAUGGUAUGAAAGGUUUGUCGCAAGUAAAUUGUCUCUAGAAAGAAAAAUGAAGUUUCCUUUUAAAUGAAAAGGUUUAAGUACGGUUAAAAGACGAGAAGACCCUGUCGAGCUUAAUUAUUCUGGUCGCUUAAGAGUAGUUUUCAAGCUUUUAGAAGAAUGGUAGUUGGGGAGAGCUGGGCUCUAUAUAAUGAGCCCUUUUUAAAACGAAGAUCCUUUUUGAGAGAUAAUAGGCAAAAGCUACCGCAGGGAUAACAGCGUAAUCUUUCUUGAAAGAUCUUAUUGAGGGAAAGGUUUGCGACCUCGAUGUUGGAUUAGAAUAACUGUUUGGUGCAGCAGCUAAAAGAAGUGAGACUGUUCGUCUCUAAAAUUUCUACAUGAUCUGAGUUCAGACCGG
rnacentral:rRNA from 1 species